GGGGCGGGGGGGCCAGCACCGAGUGCACGCGGUCCUAUCCAUCCCGCGUAAGGGACCCGGAGUCCGAGGGUGAUGGGCGAGGGUCGGGGCGGCGCUCAGACCCCGACUACCCGGACCGUGCGGAAGUGACAGGAGAAAACCCAGGGAGCCAGCACCCCUGGUCCAGCCUCCUCUUUCUGCAGAAGGACCGUCAUCACAAAUUCAGGACACUGUUCUUUUACUCCUUUUUCUGGAUGCCAUGCUGUGAAGAUGCGCCCGGGCUGGGUACGUGGCCACCAGGUGGCAGGCGGCUCCUGGCGUCACGUCCCACUUCCUUGGGCAACAACACAGUGCUGCCCUUUGGAUCCUGAGAGCCGUCGCUG